AUGGACCAUCACCACCCGCCGCCGCUCCCGCAGCAGCACGGCGACCACUACCGGCCGCUGGUGCUCUCCCCGCAGCCCGACCAUGCCCACGCCCUUCAGUACCAGCAGCCGCAGCAGCAAGCGACGCCGCCGCCGCAGCACCACCACCCCUCGCUCGCGUCCCAUUUCCACCUCCUCCACUUGGUGACAAGAUUAGGUGAUGCGAUUGCAACAGGCACAAGGGAUCAAGCUUUUGAUGCAUUGGUUGAAGAAUUGACCAGUCAAUUUGCCAGGAGCCAGCAGUUAUUGAACUCCAUUUCAGGAACACUAAGCUCGAAAUCUGUUACGGUUGAAGGACAAAUGCAAAGUUUGGAAGAAACCCGUCAGCUGCUUGAUCAAAGAAAGGAUUUGAUCGCAAAAUACAAAAGCUCGGUGGAAGACCUCCUCAAGGGGGAUCCAACAAGAUAA
rnacentral:rRNA from 1 species